GCGCUGUUCUGGAGGCAGCCUACGUAAACAUUAUAACCACGUUCACAAUGUGACUUCAAAGAAAAUGUAAUGAUGCCAAGCUUACGGUUACGUCAUGGCUAUCUUAGGUGAAGGAAGUAAAGAAGGAAGGACUACUGUGAGGAGUGACGGCUCAUAGAUGACCCAGUAACCUUUCAGCAGGACAAUAGUUGAUCAUGAGCUGCUGAGGUGAACAGGUUCAACACCUUGGAUAAUUUACUUGUCUGUCACAACACAAACAAAUCCACGCUCUCUCCAGCUAAUUCAGUGCUCUCAGUUUACUUGGCCUACAUAUAUUUGGCCUGUGGGCCAUAAAUAAACAUUUAAAGGUGAAAAUUACAUUUUGGUUGCUCUCUCUUUGUUUUUCUGUGCUAAACAAAUUUCGACUGUUUUCUUUGUUUAGACAUGUUGUGUAAGAGGCAAUUAGGCAAAGAAAAUAAGGGCUUUUAUGGAGCAAUUUGUGUUAUUUUUGAAGCUCUACAGAUGGCAGUGCAGCACAGUUAAAAUAGGCAGAGCGACGUUUCAGCUCAUGUACACCAGCUGGUCCCAGUUUGAAGGAUUUCAGUUGUAGUCAACACAUUUUUACUGGAAAAAAAGCUUCAUUUAGCAUUUUAGCUUAAAUUGAAAAGCAAAGAAAACAAUAUGUACCUAGAAUUAUAGCCACGAUCUCUUAUAAUCCUGCUGUCCUGAGUUGCAUUAGUAAAUAUUAGUCUGAUUCCUGCUUUUGAUGUCUAACAAUAAUAAUAACAAUAAUAAUAAUGAUAAUCAUAAUAAUAAUGAAACCAACAAAUUACGCAACACCUAAAACAGACUGAGUGCAGAAAAGUGUGAAGAGGUUGACUGCCUGCAGCAAUAUGGUGGUCAAAAGUAAACAACGCCAGGGUCGUAAAUGGCAGGGUGUGUUGGUUCUGUCUGUAUGUGUGUUUGUGGUGAGACACCGGAUAUGUGUUUCCUUAUCUGUCUGUCUGACUCUGGGUUGCUACAUACGUGUGGCCUCGUAUCGGUGGGUUAUCCAGGGCCUUCAGUGUGAGUGUAUGUUGGUUUUACUGCAAUAAAAAACAUUUCAAAUAACUUUCACAAUCGUCUUUGGUGAUCUUCUCUGCUUCUAAUUUAAAGCAACUAAUUGCUGGUGUUUGG